rnacentral:rRNA from 1 species
CCAAGGUCCGUAACCAGGGCGUAACCGGAACUCUGCGUAUUGAUUAGGUGCUUGCAUCAUGAUUUACAUUUGAGUGAGUGGCGAACUGGUGAGUAACACGUGGGAAACCUGCCCAGAAGCGGGGGAUAACACCUGGAAACAGAUGCUAAUACCGCAUAACAACUUGGACCGCAUGGUCCGAGCUUGAAAGAUGGCUUCGGCUAUCACUUUUGGAUGGUCCCGCGGCGUAUUAGCUAGAUGGUGGGGUAACGGCUCACCAUGGCAAUGAUACGUAGCCGACCUGAGAGGGUAAUCGGCCACAUUGGGACUGAGACACGGCCCAAACUCCUACGGGAGGCAGCAGUAGGGAAUCUUCCACAAUGGACGAAAGUCUGAUGGAGCAACGCCGCGUGAGUGAAGAAGGGUUUCGGCUCGUAAAACUCUGUUGUUAAAGAAGAACAUAUCUGAGAGUAACUGUUCAGGUAUUGACGGUAUUUAACCAGAAAGCCACGGCUAACUACGUGCCAGACAACCGCGGUAAUACGUAGGUGGCAAGCGUUGUCCGGAUUUAUUGGGCGUAAAGCGAGCGCAGGCGGUUUUUUAAGUCUGAUGUGAAAGCCUUCGGCUCAACCGAAGAAGUGCAUCGGAAACUGGGAAACUUGAGUGCAGAAGAGGACAGUGGAACUCCAUGUGUAGCGGUGAAAUGCGUAGAUAUAUGGAAGAACACCAGUGGCGAAGGCGGCUGUCUGGUCUGUAACUGACGCUGAGGCUCGAAAGUAUGGGUAGCAAACAGGAUUAGAUACCCUGGUAGUCCAUACCGUAAACGAUGAAUGCUAAGUGUUGGAGGGUUUCCGCCCUUCAGUGCUGCAGCUAACGCAUUAAGCAUUCCGCCUGGGGAGUACGGCCGCAAGGCUGAAACUCAAAGGAAUUGACGGGGGCCCGCACAAGCGGUGGAGCAUGUGGUUUAAUUCCAAGCUACCCGAAGAACCUUACCAGGUCUUGACAUACUAUGCAAAUCUAAAAAAUUAGACGUUCCCUUCGGGGACAUUGAAAACAGGUGGUGCAUGGUUGUCGUCAGCUCGUGUCGUGAGAUGUUGGGUUAAGUCCCGCAACGAGCGCAACCCUUAUUAUCAGUUGCCAGCAUUAAGUUGGGCACUCUGGUGAGACUGCCGGUGACAAACCGGAGGAAGGUGGGGAUGACGUCAAAUCAUCAUGCCCCUUAUGACCUGGGCUACACACGUGCUACAAUGGAUGGUACAACGAGUUGCGAACUCGCGAGAGUAAGCUAAUCUCUUAAAGCCAUUCUCAGUUCGGAUUGUAGGCUGCAACUCGCCUACAUGAAGUCGGAAUCGCUAGUAAUCGCGGAUCAGCAUGCCGCGGUGAAUACGUUCCCGGGCCUUGUACACACCGCCCGUCACACCAUGAGAGUUUGUAACACCCAAAGUCGGUGGGGUAACCUUUUAGGAACCAGCCGCCUAAGGUGGGACAGAUGAUUAGGGUGAUAGUUCGUACUUCCAGUUGCU